CUUUGUGGCACCCACAGCUCAUCCUGCAGUAGGAGUGAGCUGUAGGAAUUGAUUAUGGUUGGUCUGUAGGUACACAUCCAUAAUAAAAUUGUUCCUCACUUUGCCUUCUAGGUAACUAAAAAACCUUGGCUUUAUAACAACAAAAUUACGAGUCAACAUUUUCAACAGAAGCCAUCCCCAACCCAGCUUAAAUUAUAAACAUAGAAAAUAACUUUGUCCAAACUGCGUGGUGCUUCUUUAGUAAAUACUGUACAGAUUUUACCAUGGACAACUUUUUUCCUUUUUUUUUUUUUCUUUUUCUUUUUUUUUUCAGUUUUUACCUUUUCUUAAUUGCCCUUAUUCCAAAUGGAUACUUUGUACACUGCUGAACGUUGUAAAUUACCGUGUACAUAAAACCACACUGACAAUAACGCCCUGGAAUAGACCAUCUCAAUGCUGCUUAACCACAGACUCAGGUGACUACUUGUAUCUCAUGUAAUGUCCCUCCACGCUAGACACCUGGUGCACGGCCAGCUGGGAACCAUGAACUUCACAAGGACAAGCGACAGUGCGUCUGUUUAAUUUAAAGACCCAAGCUCUCAGCGAGACCUUCGAGGGCUUCCUCUGCAAUGUCUGAUACUAGAAACUAAUUUGCUUCACAUUUUAGUUGUAUUCAAGAUUUGAAGAUGUGUUUUAUAGACAAGUUCUGUUUUUGAACUUUGUGGAACUAUUCCAAUCAACUUACCAGUUAUGAUGAGUAUUUGCAUUAUGAAUGUAUAAUCCAGACAUUAUUUGUAAAGCCUACAGUAUGUUUUUUUUACCUAACACUUUUUAUACUGUGUCUCGUCUCGACAAUAUGAUGUUGGAGUCUGAGUCGUCAGCUUGAUCCCUUCAAGUUUCUAGUUACAGACAAAAAUCAUACUGUGAUUUUAUUUUUAAUAUGGAUAUGCUAUAAAACUGUGACACUUAUAAUUCACUGGUCCUGCAUCAGGAGACGGGAGUGGGGAGAAGACUGUAUUUAAUACAGUGUGUAUCUGAAUAAUCUGUAUGGUUUAUAUACAGUUUGUGUUGUUCAGAGAUGUCUAAAGUUGAUCUUUGUUUUUUUAAGAUUAAAAAAAGCACUUGCCCCACUGUAUAUAUACGGCAUGUAAGAUUUAUAUAGUAUAUAAAUGGCAGCAGAUUAAACAACUCAGUCUCCGCUUCA